rnacentral:rRNA from 1 species
UACGAAGGGGGCUAGCGUUGUUCAGAAUUACUGGGCGUAAAGCGCACGUAGGCGGAUCGAUCAGUCAGGGGUGAAAUCCCAGGGCUCAACCCUGGAACUGCCUUUGAUACUGUCGAUCUGGAGUAUGGAAGAGGUGAGUGGAAUUCCCAGUGUAGUGGUGAAAUACGUAGAGAUUGGGAAGAACACCAGUGGCGAAGGCGGCUAUCUGGACGGUUUCUGACGCUAAGACGCGAAAGCGUGGGGAGCAAACAGG